rnacentral:rRNA from 1 species
GAGUUUGAUCCUGGCUCAGGAUGAACGCUAGCGGCAGGCUUAACACAUGCAAGUCGAGGGGUAACAUUGUGCUUGCACAGAUGACGACCGGCGCACGGGUGCGUAACGCGUAUAGAACCUACCUUUUACAGAGGGAUAGCCUUUAGAAAUGAAGAUUAAUACCUCAUAGUAUUGCGAUUUGGCAUCAGAUUGUAAUUAAAGAUUUAUCGGUAAAAGAUGGCUAUGCGUCCUAUUAGUUAGUUGGUAAGGUAACGGCUUACCAAGACAUCGAUAGGUAGGGGUCCUGAGAGGGAGAUCCCCCACACUGGUACUGAGACACGGACCAGACUCCUACGGGAGGCAGCAGUGAGGAAUAUUGGACAAUGGAGGAGACUCUGAUCCAGCCAUGCCGCGUGCAGGAAGACUGCCCUAUGGGUUGUAAACUGCUUUUAUACAGGAAGAAACACUAGUACGUGUACUAGCUUGACGGUACUGUAAGAAUAAGGACCGGCUAACUCCGUGCCAGCAGCCGCGGUAAUACGGAGGGUCCGAGCGUUAUCCGGAAUCAUUGGGUUUAAAGGGUCCGCAGGCGGUCGAUUAAGUCAGAGGUGAAAUCCCAUAGCUUAACUAUGGAACUGCCUUUGAUACUGGUUGACUUGAGUCAUAUGGAAGUAGAUAGAAUGUGUAGUGUAGCGGUGAAAUGCAUAGAUAUUACACAGAAUACCGAUUGCGAAGGCAGUCUACUACGUAUGUACUGACGCUCAUGGACGAAAGCGUGGGGAGCGAACAGGAUUAGAUUCCCUGGUAGUCCACGCCGUAAACGAUGGACACUAGUUGUUGGGAUUUAUCUCAGUGACUAAGCGAAAGUGAUAAGUGUCCCACCUGGGGAGUACGAUCGCAAGAUUGAAACUCAAAGGAAUGACGG